rnacentral:rRNA from 1 species
UGGGGAAUAUUGCACAAUGGGCGAAAGCCUGAUGCAGCAACGCCGCGUGAGUGAUGAAGGCCUUCGGGUUGUAAAGCUCUGUCUUUUGGGACGAUAAUGACGGUACCAAAGGAGGAAGCCACGGCUAACUACGUGCCAGCAGCCGCGGUAAUACGUAGGUGGCAAGCGUUGUCCGGAUUUACUGGGCGUAAAGGAUGCGUAGGCGGAUUUUUAAGUGAGAUGUGAGAUACCCGGGCUUAACUUGGGUGCUGCAUUUCAAACUGGGAAUCUAGAGUGCGGGAGAGGAGAAUGGAAUUCCUAGUGUAGCGGUGAAAUGCGUAGAGAUUAGGAAGAACACCAGUGGCGAAGGCGAUUCUCUGGACCGUAACUGACGCUGAGGCGUGAAAGCGUGGGUAGCAAACAGGAUUAGAUACCCUGGUAGUCCACGCCGUAAACGAUGAGUACUAGGUGUAGGAGGUAUCGACCCCUUCUGUGCCGCAGUUAACACAAUAAGUACUCCGCCUGGGAAGUACGAUCGCAAGAUUAAAACUCAAAGGAAUUGACGGGGUC